UGAUGGAGGUUGAGAAGUCCAACUUCAAGGCACCACAUCUGGUGAGAGCCUUCAUUCCGAUGACAGCCUUCAUGCUGGUGGCAAUAGCUAAUACAUUUGCCUUUAAAUUUGUUUGACAAACACCACCCUGGAAGUAGCCUCAACUCUGGGGAAGCUCCAAGACAGGUAAAAUACAGGUAAGCCCUUGAGCAGAUCCUUCAGGAAGCUACCAUAUGGGUCAAAACACAGAACCACAAUUCUUUAAUUCUUUGAGAAUAAGGUCUGUAUUGUUCCCUCUGUUACCAGCAACCUGCAGCAGGAAAAUGGGCUUCAGUUUUCAAGUCUGCAGCUGAGUUGGGAAGUUGCGGACAGUAACCAGAGGAAAGGCCACAUGGGGACAAGAGAGGGCAACUGUCUACAAAUCUGGAAGAGAGACUUCAGAAGAAACCAGCACUGAUGGCAUCUGAUCUUGGACUUCCAGCCUCUGGAUCUUUUCUGUGUCAUUUCCAGAUCUGCCAGAGCCUGAUCUCAUACACACUGAUGUGGUACAGGAAAUGCCACCUGAAAAUAUGGUACCUUGGCAUUUGAGGAAACAGUAGAAGGAGGUCAUAGAAACUAGAAAGAAUUCCUCCUUGCUCUUUGUCCCCCAAAGGAGCCAUAAAACCUGGGCCGAGUUUCUUCUGAAAAUAAGUUAUAAGAUCCUUAUUCCAGAGGGGUCCUGCCCUGUGCCUGGAGGAAAAGAAUGAAGACACAGAGAUGCCUUGAAGAAUCUGAACAAACAGCCCUUGCUAAGUUCCCCCCAGUUUAUUGACAUUAGAUUAGACCUUUUGUCCUCCAAUUAUACUUCUGUGUUCCUGAAAAUACACAUUUUCCCGUUUUUUCUUUUGUUUGCUUUUUUUGAUCUUCAUUUCUGAAGAUUCCCAUGUCAUGUAAAAUAUAUGUUAAACAAAU
rnacentral:lncRNA from 1 species